AACCUUCCUAUAAGUGGGGAAUAGCCCAGAGAAAUUUGGAUUAAUACCCCGUAACAUAACGAUGUGGCAUCACAUUGUUAUUAUAGCUUCGGCGCUUAUUGAUGGGUGUGCGGCUGAUUAGAUAGUUGGCGGGGUAACGGCCCACCAAGUCUACGAUCAGUAGCUGAUGUGAGAGCAUGAUCAGCCACACGGGCACUGAGACACGGGCCCGACUCCUACGGGAGGCAGCAGUAAGGAAUAUUGGACAAUGGGCGCAAGCCUGAUCCAGCCAUGCCGCGUGAAG
rnacentral:rRNA from 1 species